rnacentral:rRNA from 1 species
AAUAGAUACCCGGGUAGUCCACGCCGUAAACGAUGGGUACUAGGUGUAGGGGGUAUCGACUCCCCCUGUGCCGCCGUUAACACAAUAAGUACCCCGCCUGGGGAGUACGGUCGCAAGAUUAAAACUCAAAGGAAUUGACGGGGGCCCGCACAAGCAGCGGAGCAUGUGGUUUAAUUCGAAGCAACGCGAAGAACCUUACCUAGACUUGACAUCUCCUGCAUUACUCUUAAUCGAGGAAGUUCUCCCUUCGGGGAGGACAGGAAGACAGGUGGUGCAUGGUUGUCGUCAGCUCGUGUCGUGAGAUGUUGGGUUAAGUCCCGCAACGAGCGCAACCCUUAUUGUUAGUUGCUACCAUUUAGUUGAGCACUCUAGCAAGACUGCCGUGGUUAACGCGGAGGAAGGUGGGGAUGACGUCAAAUCAUCAUGCCCCUUACGUCUAGGGCUACACACGUGCUACAAUGGCGAGUACAAAGAGACGCAAAGCCGCGAGGUGGAGCAAAACUUAUAAAACCUCGUCUCAGUUCGGAUUGCAGGCUGAAACUCGCCUGCAUAAACG